rnacentral:rRNA from 1 species
UUAACACAUGCAAGUCGAGCGAGAACCAGUUGAGGGGUAACCCUCGGCUGGGGACAGCGGCGAACGGGUGCGUAACACGUGGGCAACCUGCCCCUGACACUGGGAUAACCCCGGGAAACCGGAGCUAAUACCGGAUACUCUCGGCCGAUCACAUGGCUGGCCGAGGAAAGGUCCGCCGGUCAGGGAUGGGCCCGCGGCCUAUCAGCUUGUUAGCGAGGUAACGGCUCACCAAGGCGACGACGGGUAGCUGGUCUGAGAGGACGACCAGCCACACUGGAACUGAGAUACGGUCCAGACUCCUACGGGAGGCAGCAGUGGGGAAUAUUGCACAAUGGGCGAAAGCCUGAUGCAGCGACGCCGCGUGAGGGAUGAAGGCCUUCGGGUCGUAAACCUCUUUCGGCAGGGACGAAGCGAUCAGUGACGGUACCUGCAGAAGAAGCCCCGGCUAACUACGUGCCAGCAGCCGCGGUAAGACGUAGGGGGCGAGCGUUGUCCGGAUUCAUUGGGCGUAAAGCGCGCGUAGGCGGCUGCGCAAGUCGGUUGUGAAACCCCGGGGCUCAACCCCGGAACUGCAUCCGAUACUGCGUGGCUAGAGGUAGGUAGGGGAGAUCGGAAUUCCUGGUGUAGCGGUGAAAUGCGCAGAUAUCAGGAGGAACACCGGUGGCGAAGGCGGAUCUCUGGGCCUUACCUGACGCUCAGGCG